AGCUUUGCAGUCUUGGCAUUCUCUCCUGUCAGGAGGAUGGAUUAUCUUGGCAAAGGAGAAAUGGUGACUAACAGGGAUGUAAACACAUUUUGUACACAAAAUUUGAGAGAAAUAACUUUUUGUGCAUAUCGAACAUUUUCGGGAUCUUUUAUUUCAGCUCAUGAAACAUGGGACCAACACAUUACAUGUUGCGUUUAUAGUUUUGUUCAGCGUAAUUGCUUCAACGUCAUUAUGGUGUCAAGGGCUAUUAUACUAUUAGUAAGGUGCGCCACCUGCUAGUAAAAGACAUUACUGCUUGUCUAGGGACGUGCCAAACUUGUGUGUUUACAGUGGUUAUCAAGCCAGAGUCCACUCUGCUUUUUACUGUUGGCAUUUAUUUUCCUUCAACUGUCAUUAUAUGAAACCUCCAAUCUGGUUCGCUGCGGUAGCAACAGGGAGAAGAUAGAAUAAUUAUCUUGGUCUUCUCGUGACAAACUUGUCCAAUCAAAGAACAAAAUGUUCUCAAAAUGUACAUCUAUUCUACAGCACGCAGUCGAGGCGGUGAGUUUUAAUUUCUGUAGAAAGGUGUCAAACCUCAAAGAAUGGUUCAAUCGAGGUCGGGGACAAUUGGGCCCAACUUGACGUUCAAUUUCAGUUAGCCAAGUAACUAACUAGUUAGUUAACUGCUGUACAGUUAGCUAUGUAAUAACCUAGCUAAAUAGCGUAGCUCUGUUAGCUUUGCCAGAUGUGGGCCCGUCUGCUGCUAAUGUUAACAACCGAUGUCCUACAAAGCCUGGCAAGCUAAAGCGUUCCCUCUGUUUUCCGGGCUUGUUUCUGUUCAAGCAAUGCGAUUGAAAUUAUUCGCAUAAAGGUGUUAGCUAACAUUGGCAUGCAUUCAUUAAUAUUUGCUAUCCUAAUUGUUAGAACUGUUAACUAACUAGCUAGUUAAUGCUAACUAGUGGCUAGCGUUAGCAUAUCUGACGUGUUUAUGCUGAUGUCACAUGAGCUAACGAGUUGAGCUAGCUGCUGUACGUCUAUACGUACGUAUACGUAUCGUACGUCUGUACGAUAGCUGAUUCUGAUACGUCUCUGCAAUCUGGUACCAGCCUUCUGCUGUAUGGGUUUCCUGUAUAGCUGGUCGACGUUUUCAUCUGCCGUCAAACGUGAGCUGGGUUCCAUCUGUGGUCGAUUUCUCCACAACCUUGUUAAUGUGACUUCACUUAUCGAUGUUGUCCAAACAAGAUUGACGGUAGAAAAUAGCUACAGAUUGUUACACUAGAUAAUAUGAUUUAACCAAAGAUUUUUGGUAUCCAUUAUUGGGAGUUACAGGAUAGGCACUGUUUAGUGUAGCACAGAGACUUUUCGACCAACCUUAACGUGUCAAUACUAUCUUCGUUCUCAAUUCGGCCAAACAUCUAAGGUAUAUUCUAAAAUGUCCGUGUCUAGAUGCAGAUGGUGUGUUUGAAUUUAGAAAAUGCUCCGUUAUUGAAAUAUAUUUUUUCGCUCCAGGAAGUAAUCUAACAAUAUGUACACCGCCAUUUUAUCUAUUUCAAAUCUUCUCACUUUGAUCGAGACAGGUGAGCGUCAUUAUGACUGCAGCACUUUGGGGUGGACCCACCUGUCUCCUCUUCUGUUUCUUUGUGUGGCUUUCUGGCAGACUAGACGAUGUGUGAUGUAUUUCUGCCUUCAGCAGGUUUGCCCAUUUGUAACCCCCCCCCCCCCAAAGAAAAAGGGGAAUGGGGAAGACCAUCCAACCCUGCACCUGACAAUAUCCCCCCAAAACCACCACCCCAUCCCACUACUUUGUCCCUAAACGAUCCUACACCAGGCCAUUGGCCUGGGCGGCUGGAACCCCUUCUCUCAAAACUUCCUGUAGAAGUACUAAAAUCUCUCACCCCCAAAUAUUUCUUUGCUGCUGCAACUUUUUUUGAACACAUCUAUCUUCUGAAAUUUCCCCUCCAUCAGCGCAGUGCUGUUUAUCACCAUGACUAUAAACGAAAGAAAUCCAACCUUACUAAAACUCAUCCUUUUUGGAUCAUCCUCUUCAGGCCUACUCACUCGGGGGGCUCCCAGUUGAAUCACUCACCCUUGGGCUACUCUCUGGACAUUCCUGCACAGCAUGCAAAUUGCACGCUCCGCUCCCUCAACGUGAGACAUCUGUGGCGUUGUCUCAAACCUUCAUAUUUUAGACUGGCCUUUUAUUGUCCCCAGCACAAGGUGCACCUGUGUAAAGAUCAUAUUGUUUAAGGUAGCCUAGUGGUUAGAGCGUUGGACUAGUAACCGAAAGGUUGCGAGAUCGAAUCCCUGAGCUGACAAGGUAAAAAUCUGUCGUUCUGCCCCUGAACAAGGCAGUUAAACCCACUGUUCCUAGGCCGUCAUUGAAAAUAAGAAUUUGUUCUUAACUGACUUGCCUAGUUAAAUAAAGGCUAAAAAACAUUUACAAAAUCAGCUUCUUGAUAUGUAGGGCCCUAUGAUUUCCGCGAUGUUGAAAACUCAGAUGGAAUUGUGGAAUUUGGUAAUAAAAAACUAAACCGUGGAAUAUUUCAGAGUUUUCCAUAAUUUGACUGAAAUUGAUUUAAAAAACAGAAGUAGGCCUAAUGACUGUAGUAACCUAAAUUAUUUCAUAAUUGCAAAAUUACAGACGAGUAGGCCUAGAGAAAUAAUUCCGUUUUCGAUUGGGGUGUUUUGUUGGUCGUGCGCCCUUACGUCACCUCACAACUUGGCUGUCACUUUGAGAAACAUGUCAAAGAGGUCUGAGAGGGCCCCACAAUUUUUUUUUUUUGACCCUAACCCCUAAAUUCAGAGCAGAGCAAUACCCAAAGGACUAUUAUGAGUCAGGCAAUAAGCUGUUUUGCAAAUUCUGUCAACAUACUAUUGAUUGGACCCGUAUAUGUACGUGUGAUGACCACUUAAAGUCUAAAGCCCAUGUGAAGAACAAGGAAAAGCAAUGUGUUAGCCAGAGCAGCCCUCUUAAAAAGAACAUUACUAGUGCAAGCGCAUCAGCAGAUUCAAGACAAUAAUUUAUUCAGGACUUUGUGGCUGUGUGCACCGAGUCUGACAUCCCCUUAGAAAAGCUGAAGCAUUGCAAACAGGGAGGAGCAUUGCCCGAAAAUGAGAGCGGCCUCCGUCAAACGCACCUGCCCGGUGUGUUCGACCAACAUAUGACUGCCAUUCUACAGAAGAUCUGUGGGAAGAAGUUUGUGGUGGUUGUUGACAAGACAACAGAUGCAAGGGAGUGCAUUGUUCUAAACAUGAGUCAUUGGUGUUGAAAACCAGUACUUUCUGGUGGAUGCCGUUUUCAUGGACAGAUGCAUCUACUCAACGUUUUCCCAAGUAAUACUAGCCUCCCUCCACAGCAACAAUCUAAACCUGAAUGAUGCCUGGGCAGUGGUCACAGAUACUGCCUGAAGGCAUGCAUGAAGGUUCUGAAAGGAGUGAUGCCCAACAGUGUCCAUGUAACCUGUCUUUGCCAUGUCAUCAAUCUGGUGGGUGAGACCUGGCAGCACUACAAAUAUUUCACUUGUGACAUGGAUGAGAUCUGUCUUCUUCAAGAAGCCUGCCAGAAAGAGAAGAUGGGUGAACUUCCUCAUUAUGAAGGAGUUUGUGCUGGCCAAGGAUCCUCUUGAAACAGUGUGCUCCAGAUGGAAUAACUGGUUUGAAUCAAUGAAGUAUCAUGCAGUUCAUCUGUACAGAGUUUUUGGUGGCAGAAAAGUCAUCAUCCCAGACAGUCACAAACAUCCUCAGCCAGCUGGAAACAGAGGAGAAGGUUGCUGCAUUGUUGCCUAUAUUCUUGCAUUACUUUUUUUCCAUUUAUAAUGAAACGCUUAGUAGGACUCUGUGUUGAAGCACUUGUCUCUAUAAAAAAUAGUGCAAUGUUACAUCUUAUUAAAUUGUUGACUUUU